GUGACAUUUAAUUACUAAGAAACGGUAAAGAAUGCUUUUGUCACUCCACCAUAACUACUGAAGGAAAACAAAUUUUCACAGUCUACCUGCCUGCCCCGGCUACUGACUCUAGCGGGUGGCGUCAAAGCUUUCUUUCCUGGAUGGGACAUUCCUUGGGCAGUAUUGGAGUUGCUGGGGCAACUUCCUUGCUGAAACAUGGAAUGAUUUCAUUAAUUUUUCACUUCACUGAAAAAGAAUUGUUUGGGUUCUAUUUAAUUAGAAAUUGAAAAAAGUAGAACUGAACUUGCUUUCCAAGGCGGGUCUCAACUUUCAUGGAACCGUGAAGGCAGAAGCGUCCAGUGUUGGAGCAGCAGAGAUUCAGGGCCGCAGCUAGACGCCAUGGACAGCGUGUAUGAGCUCGCCUCCACAGAAAGGGUGCAGCAGUUAGAGAACGACCUGGCAGGGAAGCUAAGCGAACUCAAGGAUGAGCUGGGAGAACAGGGGCCCCUUCCACGAACAGCUAACUGGACCUUCAGCUCUGUUCAAAUACCAAAGGAUGUCGCUCACUUCAGACGCGAACGGGAAGUGGCUCUGAAGAGAACCCUCCGGGUGGCGGAGUGCAAGCCCCUUGUUAUUCAGGCAGAUGUCCUGCAGAGGGAGCUAGAGAGCUGCCUAAGAAGAGAGUACACGCCGGAAACUCUUCCUCUGCUUCUGCUGCAGCAUUACACAGAGAGAAUUACACACCUGGUCCAGAGUAAAUAUUUGCACAUGCUGAGGUGGAAACGGCUCUGCCAGACCAGCGGGACCAUGGAAGAGCUCUACCCUCUUUACACGAAACAAGUUGGCUACAUCAUGCAGGAGUUCAAUGAUGCAGUUCAGAGAGCAGAAAGACUGGCGGUUGCUAGGGAGAACUUCCUUAUGGGAAAAAGCAAUCCUCCCAAUCUCGUGACACCAGAAGACCUGACGAUCUACACCAGGUGGUUAGUGUGCCACCUGCACUCGCUCGGGACCAUCCAUCACUACCUGCAGGCCCUCCAGUACUUGCCUAUCUCCAGAGACCUGCGGAGUCCAGCUGGUAACCGAGUCUCUGAACCUCAUGAGGAAGAAGAAAAAGUCUGUGUCAUUGACCUUAACUCUGCAUCUCCUGGUCCUAUAGAUGCCAGCAUUUCAGGGCCAGGGACAACACGUGCUGCGUUUGUCCUGCCUCAGCAUGUGACAGAGAAGGAAGAACUAAACCCUCAGCUGAGGCGCCUGCUCUCGCAUUUCCACAUCCCCCAGGACUCACAAAAGCUGAGUGACUCCGCCAAGGAGAUGGAACUCUUCUCUUUGGUUUCCCAGAGCUUCCAGAGCAUCUUCAUGGAGCAACAAAGGAUGCGAACAUUCCCAGACUACAAGGCCGGGAGGGCUAGCCUGCAGAAUUUGUCAGGACCUGCUACUACCCUGAAAAAGAGAGCCACCUGGAUUCCCUUCAUGAAGGUCAAGCCGAAGUGUGAUCCCUGGCAGAAGAAGAUGUUUACCAGACUCAAAGAACGGAGAAGAAUAGAUGAACUAAUGCAUCUCCAGUCAAAGAUUUUGAAGAUUUCUGACCCCGUGAAAGUCGUGCAAGUGCUCCAGGAACACGCUGCAAGGACAGUGACUAUGCCUCCAUGUCGCUCAUCUUUCACGACUUCUCGGGCUUUGCAUCCGUGCGGCUACGAUCAAGUCUGGCAGGAUAUUUAUAGCAACCCCAAGCUCUACCAGAAUGAAAACGUGAAGGAUGAUGGUCUUUCAGUGGAGCCAAGCAACGAGGACCUCACAAAAAUACGUCUCAGUCAAAGUUCUGACGGGUCUGUCAAGCAGAGGACAGAGACAGGGUACAACUAUGCCGUGGCCCUGCAGCUGCUGGGCUUGGGUGAUGGGACCCAGCCUGAUGAGAACCCCGUCCUGAUGCGAGGGGCCUACUUGUCCUUCCUGUGUCUGCGCCACCUGCACAUCCGGGAGCUACAGCGCAUCUGUCUAGGAGUUCUUAACUACUUCAGAUCCGUUGAGCGAACUUUGACAAUGAACACUUCAGGCCUUACCUUGGUUUCAGGGAAACUGGUCCCCACCGUGGGAGAUAAUUCCUGGGUAAAUAUGGCAAAAGGAGGCCUGGGCACCUUGCAAGGCCUGGGAGCUCACCAUUAUGUCCACAGGACACCUGCUGAGCACAAGGUCCACGGCGUGCAAUUCCUGGAGUUCUCGGAAGUUGAAAAUCAGGACGACGUCUACAGUACACAAGCAGGCUGUGUCCACACGCAGGACCAGCUUGGCCUGUAUGUCAUGUAUGACUACGCCCUGCAGGAUCUGAAGGAACUGGAGUCAGAGCUGCUGCUCAUUGCCAGCUAUUACAUUGAGAAAGAAAAAAGUCACAGAGAGGAAGGCAAGUCUGAGAGCAGUCAGCGCUGGGGCUGGGCCCAUGCCAGUGUGGACAGAUUCGCUGUGCUCUAUGACCUGUGGACCUGGGAGGCCAAUUUUCUAGAGAGCAAACACCAGCUUCUUGACAGUUACCUUGAAGCCUACCAGCACACGUUGGACCCUGAGGAGCGGUUCACUUUAGCACAAGCAAUGACUGAUAUUAUUCACCGGCGCCCCAAGUUCGAUCUCGGCCACUCGUAUUUCACUAAAGCCUACCAAGAUGACUGUACCUGUCUGAAGCUUCACCAGCAGCUAGUGAGGGGCAUCCUCAGCCACCACCUUGAGCAGCAGCGGGAAUAUGUCCGGAGGCUCUGGCGAGGGGAUCAUCCCGAGGCUCACAAGACAUUCGGACUUCCCCUGAACAUAAUUUGCAAGCAGUUUGUUUCCAUCAACAACAGCUGCCCAGCCUCAGAAAACGUCCAUCUGUUGGAGUUCCACCCUUCCCUUGGCCUGGUUGGGCUCAUCCCCAAAACCCUGGAGCACCUGUUGCGUGAGGCUCGCCUGGCCCACAAGCCUGCAUCAUUCAGUGGGCUCGCCCAGUUGGAACAACGUCUCUUGCAGCUUGCCCUGGACCUGUGGCUCACCCCAGCCAAGCCCGAGGCCUGGUACAGCGCACAGCUCCAGAGAGAUCUCUUUUCAGCUAAAGUGAUGGGGGAUCCCUUUCUCGUGGAGGAGGUGGGCCUGCUUGCACUCAGGUCUGCGGUGGACAAAGAGCAGAAACAAGGCCAAGAUUUCCAUGCAUUGCUCCUGGAGACAUUUUCGAACCUUCUGGAACUCCUGACCCUCCGCCACCGGCUGAUAGAAAUGAAUGUGGAGAGUGCACACUUGGCUCGGCUAUAUAAGGAACUGGCACGGGAGAUGGGUUUUGAAGAAUUCCAUUUGUAUCUGAGGCCUGUUCCCUUUGAGCUAGCAUCACACAAGGACAAGGUGGACCCACCUCCUCCUGUCUUUAUGACGUCUCUGCUGGAGGACAGCAGUCGAGUGGACAGGUACUCCCCCACGGCCCACGGCCUGGCCAUCGCUGAGCUGGGCGAUAACCAAAUUGGCAAGUUCAGUUUUUAUACAAAAGAUGCCGUCCUCAAGCUCUUGUUCCACUCAGGGGUGGAAAAUAUGCAAGUGGCGCUCGCCUGCCAGGCGGCUCAGAAGAAUGCUCUGAUGGCGGCCAUUCAACAGGUGUCCUUCUACGACAUCCCUGGAGCAGACAGUCCUGAUGAUACCGAGGAAACAAGUUCAGCUCUGAAGCAUCAUGACAGAAUGAGUCCAACCAGAAGAGAUUCCAGAACUGCAAGUCACAAAGAGUGUUUGCUAUCAGCCCCAACUCCAAAAGCUCCAGACACCCUUACUCAUUCUUCAGGGCUUAAGACUACCAAAAGGGCUCCAGAAGCCUUCGUGUCUAUUCAACUAGAAAAGGUGGGUUUGCGGGACACGAUGCUGAACACCUUCCUGCACAGAAAACAGACGGUGGCUGACAGGAUGGAGAGCCCUGAUGACAUUGAAAAAGUCAAGAGGGAACUAAUAGUUGAAUAUUGCCAAAAGUUGAACUUCCGCAUGUCUCACUAUGCCCUUCGGGGUCAGAUCAUGGCAUACGGCAAUAGUCUGAGAGGUCUUCUAGAGGACCUCCCCACCAUCAGGGACACCUUCUUCAUGGUGGGACAACCAAAUGAAAAGGAGGGCUUGAAGGACUCCAGUGGGGGAUUCAAGGCUGACCCCAGGAGUUUCCAGCGUCGGCCUCGGAGUUUGCUGUCACCCGAUGGAAGAGUCUUCCUCAACUUAUGGUUUAUCCCUCAUCCUUCCGAAGUGCUGUGUAUGUUCAAAACUCUGCCAGAAGAGGCAGCUUUUAGAGCCCUGAAACUGACUCUCCAACUUGUAGCGUCUCUCCACGACAUUGUGGCCUACCUUUUCAGUUUUGCCAAGCUUGGCAAUUUCCCAUCAUGCUUCGACUCUCCUCUAAGCCCUGGCCCUUUGAGGAAUGACUGGGGAGGACAGGAGGGCAUUGGGUCUGAGCUUCAAGAGCUGCAGAAAAUGAUUGACAGUCUCCGGAACCCCCAGGACCCGAGCCAGGUGGCCCAGGCCCUCCUCCUGCGAAGGGAGGUCACUUGGUUGCAGUUCGAUGCUGCCAUGAGGCAUCUCCUCCGGGCAUUUUUGGCAGCAGGAAAUGCUCCCGCCCACCAGUCUGUCGCAGAUGGUGCGUGCCAUGGUUUGCCACCACUGAGCGACUGUCUCAGGAGGAGUAUGUUUUCCUCACAGCUCAGCCUGCCCCAGCCACUGGAUCCACGGAGCCCCCAGGCAUUUACGAUGUUCCCCUGGAGGGCGUUUCUGGAAGACAGUGGGCCAUUUCCAGUUAUGAGCAGCAUCCCAAACACCUUAGAGUAUGAUAUGCAGAUGUGUCUUUGCGGACUUAGUGACCGUGACCGCAAAGUGGCCCAUGGGGAGCUGGUGGGUGUGCAGGCACUACUGGAAGACGUACUUCUGAGCGGCUCUCACGUGAUCGUGGAGGGUUCUUCUGAACGGCAAGCCACACGGGACAAUACACAGCCAGAUUGGUCCAAACAUCUAGGACUCUGCCCAAGUCGUUUGGAAAGCCACGCAAAGGCCUCUGCGUUGCUGGAGGCCCCAUGUGAGGCAGCGAUGCCCCUGGCUCUGCUGAAGUCCUUCCUCGUCCUGUGGAAGCAGCUGGAAACGCUGAAGGAACACUGGGGCCGACUCAAGCUUCAAGGCCAGGAGGUCAACUCUGCCUCCCUCCACAGACAGUUCUCAGAGCUCUACAAAGCUGACAUUUUCUACCCCAGCAUGAAGGCUUUAGCCAGGCGGGUGGGCAAAGAAGACGAAUUUGAAGAACUUAUCAUAAGAAGCCAGUCUAUUCUUCCUCCAAAGGGAGUCUCAGAAAUGGAAAUAAAAGCUCAGCAGCUCCAGAAACUUCUGGAAAGUUUAGAAAUUCAUAUGAUCCAAGAGGUAAUGAGGAAAGUUAGUAGAGAGAUGACCCUUCUUCUAUCAGAAAAAUCCAAGGAGGAGCCUACCCUCCCAACAGAUCUUUGGAAACACCAAGUCAUGAAAGAAAACUUUUCAGUUGUGAGACCCCAGAUAGUUGAAAGAUUUGUACAGAGACUAAUGGAGAGUUACCAAGAGGAUGGACCCAAGGUCACUUUCAGGAGGGACCACCUGGAAGCCUGCCUCCUCUCCCUGGGGUGUGAUGUGAUGGCAAGAGAACGCAGCAACUUUGAGACCUACUCCAUGUGUUACGAGCACGUGCUGCAACAUGCCAGGGAGAAGCUCAGCCAGAGGGAGCAGGAAGUAGACUUUCUUCGAAGAAGUCAGGUUCCUCCUGAAGACUGUGCUGGUCAGGUUGCAGAGCUCAGUCAUGACCUGAUCAUGGAAAUCACCGCUCUGAGAGCCCAGCUGACAGCUCUGGAAGAGGAGAGUUUGAACCUAAAACACCAGAUUAGAAAGGAAGUUCAGGAGGAAUACAGAUCAUUAGUGCAAGCUUUGUUUAUGACCUGCUUACACAUAAAGGAGAAGCUGGAUGAGAAUCAGUUUAAUUUGAUCCAGAAAGUGUGUGAGCUCAUCGGUGAAGUGAGAGCCGAAGGGAUUGCCAACAUGAAGCAGCUGAAGAAAGCCUGGGGCUCUGCCAGACCUGAGGAAGGAACAAAAGAGAGCACAGCCGAAGUUCGUGGUCGCACGCUGCUGCAUUUCUUCCUAGCGCCCAGCCCAUCAUUGACCCGCUUAGUCUCCCCAAAACACUGUAGCAUUGUCUUAGAGGGACCCUGGGGUGGGGCUCCACACGGUCACGAAUCCUUUCAGAAGGCACAUCUGGAGUUAGUAUCAAUUUUCUGGUUUAGGAACCAUGUGCCCUUCUGGGAAAAAGGACAAAGAGUGGCCUUUUCUAAACGUAAGCCUUCUUGGCAGGAGCAGCUGUGCCCCUUGGAGCAGGACAGCAGCAGCGCCCUGGCUACUCUGCUGUGCAAAAUGCGGAGCCUGGGCCGCUGGCGCCUGGCUGUGCUGGAGGCUCGCCUUACAGGUCAGCUGAGCAGGGCAGAGAAGGAAUCUAUUCACAGCCAAAGAGAAUGCUUGAGAAUCAAGUUCAUGGCAGAGCAAGAAGUGGGUUUACUUCAUCAGCAACUACUGGCUGCGAGGCAGGCCCUGGCCAAAGCUCACACUGACAACAGGACGCUCAGGCGGCAGCAGGAUACCCAGGCUCAACUGUUGAGGGAGCUGGAACACAGAGUAACUCAAGACUCCGUCACUCGGCAGCAGCUGGAGGUCAUAAAAACAUCUGGCAUGGAGAAACUCCUAGAAGACGUGGAGCGAAAGGAGCAGCAACUGCAGCUCUUAUCAGCAGAGGCUGAGCGGGCUUCGAAACUGGGCCAGCUGCAGUGGAAGAGGAUGGACAGGGACCUGCAGCAGAUGAGAAGCCAGCUAGCUCAGGAGCGCAGUGUGAAGCUGGACGCUUUCCACCGUGUGCGGGAGCUGCAGAGUCAACUUCAUGACAUGGAGCAGUCAUCUCCCCAGAUGGGCUCCCCGAGUGGGCUUAUAUCCCAGACCCACUGCCCCCUAAACUCUGCUUCAUCAUUAUCCAGACACUCUCUCCGUUUUCCAAAGACCAAUCUUCUUGGCAAUAAAAUGACAAGAAGGAUUCAAAGACCACAGACUGUACCAAUUAAGCACAAAAAAAGGAUUGAUGAUGGUUUUCUACCCAAUGUGGCAGAAAAUGUUCAACUUACAACUUCCCAAGUUCAAACAGCUCCAUCCGGGAUUUCCUUCAGGCCCAAUAGCAUUUCUUCUCAGCAUGUGGCAGACAGUAUUGAAGAACUGAAAUGAAUUCAUUGAGUGUCCAGAUGAAGCCACAUUUGGUCCCAGAUUUGAAAACACUCAAACACUGGCCAUGGUCACUCCAAAUGGCUCCAGAAUAAACAAAACAAGAUCCAAACAGAAAUCAGAGGAUCUGCAGAGUUGAAGAGGCAGAGAUGAAAAUUAGGACAUGAAGGAAAGUGUCUGAAGUUCCCAUGGCAGUAGAGCGGAGAGAGCUGAAGUGAAACCUAACAUGCUUCACAAGAACAAUUAUAAAAACAUCUUGUACCUCCCAACUUACAUCUGGCAUCCAAUAAAAAUUUACCAAGAAUGCAUCAAAACCAGAAACCACAACCCAUAGAUGGGUAGAAAAAAAUCAACAGAAAGUGAUCCAUUAGCAGUGCUAUGCAGACAUUAAAAAAUUACUCUAAUUAGAAAAAACCUCACAACUACAAAAACAACCCACUAUGUAGAGAAACCACACAUACAUUAAUACCAGGAAAUGGUACUGAACUUAAUUAAAGGGGCAACUUUAAUUAGUAUGAAACACAAAGGGCUGUUGAUCAAUUCUAGCAACCUGUAUAAAACUAGAAUCUCCAUCAAGGCAGAGGGUGUGGACCCCCACAAAGGUUGGAAAUCUUCCAAAUAUGAAAACCACAGAGCCAAACAGCUCAAUAGAUUUCCAAAUACAAGAAAUGAGGAAAACUGUAACACAGCCCACAACAAUCAAUUUGCUCAAAACCAGUAGAAGAAAACAUGUACAGAACCAACGAUGCUAACAGACUUAUCAGUGUCCGAUGUCCUUUUCAUGUGAAAAGACAAUGGACCAAAAAUUAACAAGUAUGUAUGACAAAAAAAAAAAAAACCACCAAAAACCAAAAAACCAGCAACUUUGGAUUCCAUAUUCAAAUUUCUUAAAAAAGCCAAGUAAUUGAUUUAUUACAAAUCAUCUACAAUAAAGGCAAUGGUUUUUGCAUUUGUAUUUUGAAAACAAAAUACAAACUAGCAGGCAAGAUAUACAAAAGCUGGAUUUAUCAACAGCUACAUUAACAAAAAACACAAACAUUAUUGAACUUAAAAGUGCUAAUACAUAACAUAGCUUGGGUGGUGGUGGCACACACCUUUAAUCCCAGCACUCGGGAGGCAGCAGGUGGAUUUGAGUCUGAGACCAGCCUGGUCUACAAGAGCUAUUUCCAAGACAGCCUCUAAAGCCAUAGAGAAACCCUGUCUCGAAAAAACCAAAGCUAAUAUACAUGCCCAAGUAAUGGGAAAAACACACAAAACCAAUUUCAUCUUCAUUAUUUAAUCUCAAUGUUUUAGGAAGUUAAGCCUUCUAUAACGUUUUAUGUAAUUACCAAAUGAUAAGGCUAACAUGGAAACAAAGGCCUCAUUUCUAAGGCAAAACACUAAAUCUAUUUUAUAUCCAGACUUGCAAGGAGUAGUCAAGAACUUAAUGUAAUGCCAAAUGAUACUAUAGAUGCUUCUACAUGUGUUCCAACAGAAUCAGCGUUCCUAGGGAAGUAUGCAGCUUGACACUCUAAGCAGAAGCCAAGUUUCAUUUCACAUGCACUCCGAAAGGCAUGAUGUGGCUAGCAAGAUGGCUCAGUCCCUGGAACCCACAAAGGUGAAAGAACUAACCCCACAAAAGUUGUCCUCUGCCCCCCCUUCUCAUUCACUCUCGGUUAAGGUGAGCCUGGGGUGUGUCCCUUCCAUCCUCUGUCCAGCUAUCAUUUGUAAGGUCUGUUCUCUACUAAUUUAUAACCCUUAGUUACCAUCUACCAGCCUACAGAACAACAGAGACAGUAACAACCCAGAUUCAAAAGGACAGGGCAAAUACAACAGUGUUGAAUUUUAUAUAAAAUGUAACAAUUUUGAUCAAUAAAGAGACUAACUCAA